GCUUCCUGAUCUUGUAACACGGAAACCCAAAAACCAAGAAGCUAAGCUGCUGGCAUUGAACUGGCAACACUGGGCACAUCGUAUGUGGUUAGCACCUCCCCACCACAGACGACCCCUCCGCCCACCUGCUCAUGCAGCUCAUCUUCCGGGCUUGGCUUUUCCUUGUGGUGCUUGGCAUCCAUACAGACAUUGAGAAGCUCAGUCCUGUGCCGGGCUGCCCACACUGUGGUCACCACUGCCAGAAGGAGCAGCAGCUCUGUUGUCGCCAGCUGGGCCAUGUCAGCGUCUGAAGGAAGACCUGUGAUUGGAUCUUAGAUCCCUGAGCCACC